UGUGAUAAAUUAGUCGGUUGGAUGGAUAACUAAUUAUUGACUUUGUAUUUUUAAAACUAUCUUAGUGUGGAGAUUAGGGUAGUGAUUGUAAGUGGUUUUGUUUACAGUUUAAAGGUGGGUUUAAAGGUAACCGGGUUUAAUAUAGUGUUAUAACUUAUGAGUAAUGUAUGAAUAGCUUCUUUGGGUAGUCAAUCAUAUUUAAUUUUAGGAAGGUAUAAAAUGUUAUAAUUAGUAGUUAAAUAUCUUUUUUAAUUCUCGCUGUAAUCCGAAAUGUUUAUUAAAAACAUUUCCACCUAAAUGUGUAGGUGGUAUGACCUGCUCAGUGUUAUAUAUAAACAGCCGCAGUAUAUUGACUGUGCUAAGGUAGCAUAAUUAAUUGUCUUCUAAAUAAGGAAUUGUUUGAAUGGUUCAUUUGGAUUUUAAAGUAUAGAGAGGAGAUUUAAGUGAAUUUAGUUUAGUGGUAAAGAACCCACUGUAGUAACAAUAGACGGAAAGACCCCGAGAGCUUAUUUAAAAAUUUAUUUGGGGCAAAAGUUUAGUUUCAUAGACAUUUUGAACCCUUAAGGGUUUAUUGGUUAAGUUACCUCGGGGAUAACAGGGUUAGAAGUAAGGAGAGUUCUUAUCGAUUUACUUAGUUGCUACCUCGAUG
rnacentral:rRNA from 1 species